GGCCUCGUAGCUAAGCUGGUAGAGCAUGCGCGUACAAAGCGUAGGCGGCGUCCAUGCGUGGGUUCAAAUCCCACCGAUACUA
rnacentral:tRNA from 1 species